rnacentral:rRNA from 1 species
AGAUGGCGACCGGCGCACGGGUGAGUAACACGUAUCCAACCUGCCUCAUACUCGGGGAUAGCCUUUCGAAAGAAAGAUUAAUAUCCGAUAGCAUAUAUUUCCCGCAUGGGUUUUAUAUUAAAGAAAUUCGGUAUGAGAUGGGGAUGCGUUCCAUUAGUUUGUUGGGGGGGUAACGGCCCACCAAGACUACGAUGGAUAGGGGUUCUGAGAGGAAGGUCCCCCACAUUGGAACUGAGACACGGUCCAA